AGACUGAUAGUGUUAUUAGGUGUUCUUGUUUUUGCUUAAAUUUUGGUAUAUUGUUUAUUCAAGGAAAUGAGACAGGAUUGAUAGUGUGAUUAGUGUUCUUGUUUUGCUAAAAUUUUAUAUUGUUAUCAAGAAAUGAGAAGAAUGAUAAUGUUAGUAGUGCUGUCUUGUUUUGCUAAAAUUUUGUAUUUGUUAUCAAGAAAAUGGAGAAAGAUUGAUAGUUGUUAUUAGUGUUCUUAUUGCUAAAUUUUUUAUAUUGAUAUCAAGAAAGAAAUGAGAAGAUUAUAGUGUUAUUUUAGUGUUCUUGUUUUGCUAAAUUGUUGUAUAUUUGUUUAUCAAAGAAAUGAGGAAGAUGAUAGUGGUGUAUUAGUGUUCUUGUUUGCUAAAUUGGUAUAUUGUUAUCAAGAAAAUGAGAAGAUUUGAUAGUGUGAUUAGUGUUCUUGUUUUGCCUAAUUUUGUAUAUUGUGUAUCAAGAAAUGAGAAGUUUGAUAAUGUUAUUAAGUGUUCUUGUUUUGCUAAAUUUUGUAUUAUUCCGUUAUCAAUUAAAUGAAGAAGAUAUAGUGUUAUUAGUGUUCUUUGUUUUGCUAAAAUUUUGCUUUUUGGCAUAUCAAGAAAUGAAGAAGAUUGAUAGUGUAUUUAGUGUUCUGGGUUUUGCUUAAAAUUUUGUAUAUUGUUAUCAAGAAAUGAGAAGAUUGAUAGGUGUUUAUUUGUGUUCUUUGUUUUUUGCUUAAAUUUUAUAUAUUUUAUCAAAGAUAUUCAGAAGAUUGAAGUGUUAUUAGUGUUCUUUGUUUUGCUAAAAUUUUGUAUAUUGUUAUCAAGGGAAAUAGGAAGCGUUUGAUAGUGUUAUUAGGUCUGUUUGUGUUUUAAUUUUGUAUAUUUGUUAUCAAAGAAAUGAGGAAGAUUGAUAGUGUUAAAUUAGUGUUCUUGUUUUGCUAAAUUUUGUAUAUUGUUAUCUUGAAAUAGAAGAUUGCAUGAGUGUUAUUUAGCUGUUUCUUGUUUGGGGCUAAUUUGUAUAUUGUUAUCAAGAAAUGAGAAAGAUUGAUAGUUGUGAUUAGUGUUCUUGUUUUGCUUAAAUUUUGUAUAUGUUAUCAAGAAAUGAGAAGAUUGGAUAAUUGUUUAUUAGUGUUCUUUGUUGCUAAAUUUUGUAUAUUGUUAUCAAAGAAAUGAGAAGGGUGAUAGUUUUAUUAGUGUUUCUUGUUUUGCUAAAUUUUGUAUAUUGUUAUCCAAGAGAUGAGAAGAUUGAUGAGUGUUUAUUUGUGUUCUUGGUAUCAAGAAAACGUUUGACGCUGACCCUUAUUAGCAAAAUCUCUCAAAAAUGAAAAAGCAGUGCAAUGGGGAAUUCUCCAUGGCUUCUGUUCAGUCAAAUAAGGAUAUGGAAGAUCACAAACCAAGUCGGAUGUAAGUCAUGACGCCACUGUUCGGUUUUGAAUUUAUGAUCGGCUUCGUAAGGCCACACCACUGCUUUCCUAUAUUCGUACGCACAUCUUCAGGACUGUUAUUAUGUGAGUUAUAUCUUUACUUCUUUUUUUUAGCAUACUAAUGUCGUAUAUUGCGUUAUCAAGAAAAUGAGAAGAUUGAAUAGUGUGAAAUUAGUGUUCUUUUUUGCUAAAUUUUUGUAUAUGUUAUCAGAAAUGAGGAAAGAUUGAUAGUGUUAUUAGUGUUUCUUGUUUUGCUAAAUUUUGCUUAUAUUUGUUAUCAAAAGAAAAUUUGAAGCAUUGAUUAGUGUUAUGGGAGGUUCUUGUUUGCUAAGUUUGGUAUUAUUUGUUAUCAAGAAAUGAGGGGAAAGAUUGAUAGUGUGAUUAGGUGUUCUUGUUUGCUAAAUUUUGUUGAUAUGUGUUAUCAAGAAAUGAGAAGAUUGGAUAAUGUUAUUAGUGUUUCUUGUUUUGCUAAAGUUCUGUAUAUCGUUUAUCAAUAAAUUGAGAAAGAUUGAUAGUGUUAUUAGUUUGUUCUUGUUUUUAUGCUAAAUUUUGAUAGGAUUGUAUCAAGAAAUUGGAGAAGAUUGGAUAGUGUUAUUAGUUGUUUUGUUUUGGCCUAAAUCUUGUAUAUUGUUAUCAAGAAAUUGAGGAGAAGCAUUGAUAGUGUUAUUUGUGUUCUUGUGUUUGCCUAAAAUUUUAUCUAUAUGUUUAUCAAAAAAAUCAGAAGCAUUUGCGCAUAGUGUUACUUUAGUUUCUUGUUUUGCUAAAUUUGAUAUUGUUUAUCAAGAAAAUAGGCCAAAGGCUUGAGUUUAGUGUUAUUAGUGUUCUUAUUUGUGACUUUUUAAUUUUGUAUAUUGUUAUCAAGAAAGGAAAGAAGAUUGAUAGUGUUAUUAGUGUUCUUGUUUUGCUAAAUUUGUUAUAUUGUUAUCAAGAAUGAGAAGAUUGAUAGUGUUAUUAGUGUGUUUCUUGUUUUGCUAAAUUUUGUAUAUUGUUAUCAAGAAAUGAGAAGAAUUGAUAGUGUUCGUGUUGAUUAGUGUUCUUUUUUGCCUAAAUUUUGUAUAUGUUAUCAAGAAAUGAGAAGAUUUUGAUAAUGUUAUUAGUGUUCUUGUUUGUGCCUUAAAAUUUUGGUAUGAUUGUUUAUCAAAGAAAUGAAGAAAGAUGAUAGUGUUAUUAGUGUUCUUGUUUUGCUAAAUUUUGUAUAUUGAUAUCCAAGAAAUGAGAAAGAUUGAUAGUGUGAUUAGUGUUCUUGUUUUGCUAAAUUUGCUAUUAUUGUUAUCAAGAAAUGAGAAGAUUGAUAAUGUUUAUUAGUGUUUUCUUGUUUUGCUAAAUUUGGUAUAUUUUAUCAAGAAAUGAGGAAGAUUUAUUUAGUGUUAUUAAGUGUUCUUGUUUUUGCUAAAAUUUUGUAUUAUUAUUAUCAAGAAAUGAGAAGGUGAUAGUGUUAUUAGUGUUCUUGCUUUUGCAAAAUUUUGUAUAUUGUUAUCAAGAAAUGAGAAGAUUGAUAGUGUUGUUAUGAGUGUUCUUAGUUAUUCAUGAAACGGUUGACGCUGACCCUUUAGCCAAAAAAUCUCUCAAAAAUGAAAAGGCAUUGCCAUAGGGAAUUCUCCAUGGGCUUUACUAUUCAGUCAAAUAAGAUAUGGAAGAUCACAACCAAGUCUAGGUAAAGUCAUGACGCACUGUUCGUUUGGAAUUUCAUUGAUUGGCUUCAAAGGGCCACACGACUGACUUCAAGAUACGUACGCACAUCUUUAGGGACUCUAUUACGUGAGUUAUUUUUUGGCUUCUUUUUUCUUAGCAUACUAAUAUACGUCUAAAUAUGUUAUCUAAAAGAAUGAGAAAAGAUUUGAAUAUUGUUACUAUGUUAAUUAUAGCUAACUUUGCAUCCUAAUUUGUCAUAUUGUACAAGAAAGAGAAAGAUAGAUCCGUAGUAAAACCCUUGAGUUGUGUCGUGUUUUGUCUUGAGAUUUUCCUGUAUUAUAAUGUCAUCAAGAAAUGGAGGAAGAUGAAUAGUGUGAUUUGAUGUUCUUCAGUUUUAGUCUAAAAUUUUUUUAUAUUACUGGUUACAAGGAGAAUGAAGAAAAGAUAUUGAUAUGUUCAUAGUGUCCGUAUCUUCUGUUCUGUUGCUAAAUUUAUGGUUAUACUAUGUUAUCAAUAGAAAAUGAGAAGAUGAUAGUGUAUUAUUCGUCUCCUUUGUUUUGAAACUCAUAAUAUUUAUAUGUAUAUCAGAGAAAAUCGAGAUAAUUGAUGAGUGGAUUAUAUUCGUUGUUUUGCAAACUUUGUGAUAAUUGUGUUAGUCAAGAAAUGAGUGAAGAUUGAUAUGUGUAUUAGUGUUCUUGUUUUGCUAACCAUUGUAUAUUAUAUCUACAGAGGAAUGAAAGGAUUGAUAAAUGUUAUUAGUGUCUUGUUGGUAAAAUUUGUAAUAUAUGUUAUCAAGAAAUGAGAAGAUUGAAUAGUGUUUUAUUUAGUGUUCUUGUUUUUCGCUAAAUUGUUGUAUAUUGAUAUCAAGAAAUAGGAAGGUGAUAGUGUUCAUUAGGUUCUUGUUGUAAUUUUUGUAUAUUGUUAUGAAGAAAUGAGAAGUAUGAUAGUGUUAUUAGUGUUCUUGUUUGCUAAAUUUUGUAUAUUGUGUAUCAAGAAAUGAGAAGAUUGAUAAGUGUUAUUAGUGUUCUUGUUUUGCUAAAUUUUUGUAUAUGUUAUCAAGAAAGAAUGAGAAGAUUGAUUAGUGUAUUUAGUGUUUCUUGUUUUGCUAAGUUUGUAAUAUUGUUAUCCAAGAAAUGAGAAACUUUGAUUAAUGUUAUGUUAGUAUGUUCUUGUUUUGCUAAAUUUUGUAUAUAUUGUUAUCAAGAAAGAGAAGGUAUGAUAGUGUAUUUAGUGUUCUUGUUUUGCUAAAUUUUUGUAUAUUGCGUAUCAAGAAAUGAGAAGAUUGAUAGUGUAUUAGUGUUACUUGUUAUCAAGAAACGUUUGACGCUGAGCCCUUUAGCAAAAUCUCUCAAAAAUGAAAGGCAUUUCGCCAUGGGGAAUUCUCCAUGGCUCUGUUCAGUCAAAUAAGAUUGAAGAUCACACAAGUCGAAUGUAAGUCAUGACCAACUGUCGUUUGAUUUAUGAGCUGAAGGCCAACCCACUGCUUCCUAUAUCUACGCACUCUCAGACUCAUAGUUCAUUCUUUAGCUUCUUUUUUUUAAGGCGAACUGAUUGUGUAAUGUUAUGCAAGAAUGAGAAAGCUGAUAGGUUAUUAGUGUUCUUGUUUGCUAAAUUGUGUAUUUGUUAUAGAGAAUGAGAAAAAAAUUAGUGUUAUUUAGUUGGUUCUUUUUUCGUAAAUUUUGUAUAUUGUUAUCAAGAAAUGAGAAGAUUUGAUAGUGUUAUUAGUGUCUUGUUUUGCUAAUUUGUAUAAAUUGUUAAUCCAAGGAAAUGAGAAAGAUUGAUAGUUAUAGUGUUCUUGUUUUGCUAAAUUUUGUAUUUGAGUUUAUCAAGAAAUGAGAAGAUUGAUAAUGUUAUUAGUGUUCUUGUUUUCUAAAUUUUGUAUAUCGUUAUCAAUAAAAUGAGAAGAUUGAUAGUGUUAUUAGUGUUCUUGUUUUUGCUAAAUUUUGUAUAUUUGAUAUCAAGAAAUGAGAAGAUUGAUAGUGGUAUAGUGUUCUUGUUUUGCUAAAUUUUGUAUAUGUUCAUCAAGAAAUGAGAAGAUUGAUAUUUUAUUUGUGUUCUUGUUUUGCUAAAUUUGUAUAUUAUUGUUAUCAAAAACGAAGAAAUAAUGUGUGUUAUUAGUGUUCUUGCUUUUCGCUUUAAUUUAUGUUAUUGUUAUUCAAGAAAUAGAAGUUGAUAGUGUUAUUAGGUGUUCUUGUUUUGUAACAUUUCUAAUUUGUAUAUUGCUUAUUCAAGAAAUGCAGGAAGAUUUGAUAGCUGUUAUUAGUGUUCUUGGUUUUUGACUAAAUUUUGUAUAUUGUUAUCAAGAAAUGAGGAAGCAUUGAUUAGUGUUAUUAGUGUUCUUGUUUUGCAAAUUUUGUAUAUGGUUAUCAAAGAAAUGAGAAGAUUGAUAGUGUGAUUAGUGUCUUGUUGUGCCUAAAUUUUGUAUAUUGUUAUCAAGAAAAUUGAGGAAGAUUGCAUAAGUUAUUAAUGUUCUUGUUUUUGCUUAAAUUUUGUAUAUUGUUAUCAAGCAAAUGAGAAGAUUGCAUAGUGUUAGUAGCUGUUCUUAUUUUGCCUAAAUUUUGUAUAUGAUCAAAGAAGAUUGAGAGAUUGAUAGUGUUAUGAGUGUUCUUGUUGUGCCUAAAUUUUGUUAUAUUGUUAUCAAGAAAAUGAGAAGGAUUGAUAACGUGUUAUUAGUGUUUCUUGUUUUGCCCUAAAUUUGUACAUUGUUAUCAAGAAAUGAGGAGAUUGAUAUGUUAUUAGGGUUCUUGUUUGGCUAAAUUUUGUAUAUUGUUAUCAAGGGAAAAUGAGAAGAUGUUGAUAGUUGUUAUUAGUGUUCUUGUUUUUGCUAAGUUGUAUAUUUUAUCAAAGAAAUGCAGAAGAUUGGAUUAGUGUUGAUUAGUGAUUCUUGUUUUCGCUUAAAUUUGGUAUAUUGUUUAUCAAAAACAUGAGAAGAUUGAUAAUGUUAUUAGUGGUUCUUGUUUUGCUAAAUUUUGUAUUAUGUUAUCAAGAGAAUAGGAGAAGAUUUGAUAGUGUUAUUAGUGUUCUUGUUUUGCUAAAAUUUUGUAUAUUGAUUAUCAAAAAUGAGAAGGAUUGAUAGGUUAUUAGUGUUCUUGUUUUUGCUAAAAUUUUGUAUAUUUGAUUAUCAAGAAAUGGGGAAGAUUGAUAUUGUAUUAUUGUAUCUUGGUUUUGCUAAAUUUUUCUUUAUUGUUAUCAAGAAAAUCAGAAGAUUGAUAGUGUUAUUUGUGGUUCUUGCUUUUUUGCUAAAUUUUUGUAUGAUUGUUAUCCAAGAAAGAGAGAAUUGAUAGUGUUAUUAGUUGUUCCUUGUUUUGCUAUAAUUUUGUAUAUUGUUUAUCAAGAAAUCAGAAGCUUGAUGUGUUAUUAGUCGUUCUUGUUUUUGUUAAUUUUGAUAUAUUGAUUAUCAAGAAAUGAGGAAAGAUUGAUAGUGUUAAUUUAGUGUUUUUCUUUUUGCUAAAUAUUGUUAGUAUUGGUUAUCAGGAAAUGAGAAGAUUGAUAGUGUUAUUAGUGUUCUUUUUUUGCAAAAAUUUUGUUUAUUUUAGUUUCGAAAAUGAGAAGAUGUUAGUGAUAUUAUGUUCUUGUUUUUGCUAAAAUUUUGGUUAUAUUUUGUUAUCAAAGAAAUUGGAAAAGAUUGAUUAUUUUGUUAUUAGUGUUUCUUGUUUUGCUAAAAUUUUUGUAUAUUUGGUAUUUUCAAAAAAAGGGAAAUGAGGAAAGGUGUGAUUAAGUGCUUAUUUUAGUUGUUUCCUUGUUUUGGCUUUAAAAUUUUUGGGUUUGUAUUUAUUGGUUUUAAUUCAAAAAAAAAGGGAAAAUUUUGAGGGGGGAAGAUUUUGGAUGUUUUUUUUUUUCCCCCUCCCUCCCUUUUUUUUCCCCGGNAGAAAUGAGAAGAUUGAUAGUGUUAAGUGUUCUAGUUUUGAUCAAAAUUUUGUAUAUUGUUAUCAAGAACAAUGAGAAGGAUGUGAUAGUGUUAUUAGUGAUUCUCUUGUUAUUUGCUAAAUUUUUUGUAUAUUCGUUAUCAAGAAACGAGAAGAUUGAUAGUGUAUUAGUGUUUGUUUGUUUGCUUCAAAUUUUCGUAUUAUUGGUUAUCCAAGAAAUGAGAAGAUUGAUAGUGUAUAUUAGUGUCUUGUUUUCGUAAAUUUGUAUAUUGUUAUCAAGAAAUGAGAAGAUUGAUAUUGUUUUAUUAGUUUUCUUGUUUUGCUAAAUUUUGUAUAUUGUUAUCAAGAAAGAGAAAGAAUAAGUGUUAUUAGUGUUCUUGUUUUGCGAAAUUUUGUAUAUUGUUAUCAAGAAAUGAGAAGAUUGAUAGGCGUUAUUAGUUCUUGUUUUGCCUAAAAUUUGUAUAUUGUUAUCAAGAAAUGAGAAGAUUGAUAGUAUUAUUAGUGUUCUUGUUUUGCUAAAUUUUGUAUAUUGUUAUCAAGAAAUGAGCAGAUUGAUAGUGUUAUAGUUUCUUGUUUUGCUAAAUUUUUAUAUUAUUAUCAGAAAUGAGAAGUGAUAGUGUUUUAUGUUUUGCUUUUGCCUAAAUUAUUGCAAUAUUGUUAUCAAGAAAUGAGAAGCAUAUAGUUAUAUUAUUCUUGCUGAUCAAGUAAACUUACGUGGACAGCAGAUUCAAAAUAGCAUUCAUGCGAUACGUUCCAUGCUCUGUUAGCAAUGAAUGGAUAACUGUGUAAUCUGAAUGUUCGUUUGAAUUAAUGAUGGCUUCGCCAAAUCAUUGUUCUAUAUUGACGCCACAUCAGGGAACGAUAUAGUGAGUUAUUCAUUUGCUUCUUGUUUCUAUAAUAUAAUGCUGUAUUAUUGUUAUCAAGAAAUGAGAAGAUGAUAGUGUUAUUAGGUUUCUUGGUUUUGCUAAAUUUUGUAUUGAUUGCUUAUUCAGAAAUGAGAAGAAUUGAUAAGUGUGAUUAGUGUUCUUGUUUUGCUAAAUUUUGUAUAUUGGUAUCAAGAAUGAGAAGAUUGCAUAUGUUAUUAGUCCUUCUUGUUUUGCCUAAAUUUUGUGUAUAUAUGUUAUCAGAGAAAUGAGAGGUUGAUAGUGUUAUUAGUGUUCUUGUUUGCUAAAUUUUUGUAUAUUGUUAUCAGAAAUGCAGAAGCAUUUUGAUAGUGUUAAUUGACUGUUCUUGUUAUCAAGAAACGUUGACGCUUGACCCUUUAGCAAAAUUCUCAAAAAUGAAAGGCAUUGCCAUGGGGAAUUCUCCAUGGCUUUCUUUUAAGUCAAUAAGGAUAUGGAAGCAUCACAACCAAGCUCGAUGUAUUUCUAAGUGUCAUUGACACACUGUUCGUUUGAAUUAAUGAUGGCGCUUCAAAGCCACCACCACUGCUUCCUAUAUUCGUACGCACAUCUUAGCGACUCUUAUUACGUGAGUUAUUUCUUUGCUUCUUUUUUUGCUAAAUUGGUAUAUUGUUAUCAAGAAAUCGAGAAGAUUGAUAGUUGUUAUUGGUUAUUGUUUCAAAUGUUUUGUUCAGGUAAUUGAGAGAUUGAUAAAUAGGUUUGUUGUUCCAAUUGUAUAUUGUUAUCAAGAAAUGCAGAAGAUUGAUAGGUUAUUAGUGUUCUUGGUUUUUCUAAAUAUGUCGUAUAUUUUGUCAAGAAAUGAGAAGAUUUGGAUUAGUGUAUACUUCUUGUUGCAUUCUUGUAUAUUGUCAGAAAUAGAGAAGAUUUAUGUUUUAUGUUCUUUAAUUGUUAUUUUUAUCAAGAAAUGAGAAGGUUGCAUAGUGUUAUCUAGUGUUCUUGUUUGCCUAAUAUUUGUAUAUUGUUAUAAAGAAAUGCAAAGAUUGAUAGUGUUAUUAGUGUUCUUGUUUUGCUAAAUUUUGUAUAUUGUUUAUCAAAAGAAAUGAUGAAGAUUGGUAGGUUAUUAGUGUUCUUGCUUUGAUGAAUUUGUUAUAUUCGUUGAUUCAAGAAAUGAGGAAGAUUGAUAGUGUUAUUAGUGUUUCUUGUUUUGACUAAAUUUUGUUUAUUGUUAUCAAGAAACGACAGAAGAUUGAUAGUGUAUUGGUGCUUCUUGUUUUGCUUAAAUUUUGUAUAUUGUAUCAUCUAACGCAAAUGCAGAAGACUUGAUAGUUUAAUUAGUGUUCUUGUUUUCUAAAUUUUUGUAGUAUGUUAUCAAAGAAAUGAGAAGAUUGAUAGUGUUAUGUAGUUUCGUUGUUUGACUAAAUUUAGUAUAUAAGUUAUCACAGAAAAUGAGAACGUUGAUAGGUUAUAGUGUUCUGUUUUGCUAAAUUUUUGUAUAUGCUUAUAUCUAAGAAAUGAAAGAUUGAUAGUGUUAUUAGUGUUCUGUUAUCAAGAAACAUUUAGACGCUGACCCUACCAAAACUCUCCUCCAAAAUGAAAGCUUUUCAUGCGGAAUUCUCCAUGGCUUCUGUUUAAGUCAAAUAAGAUAAUGGAAGAUUCACAACAUAGCGAUGAUAAAGCGCAUGACGCAUUUCGUCUCGUGAAUUUAUGGAAGGCUUCAAGCCACAACCAUGCUGCUCCUAUAUCCGUACGCACACUUUAGGCACUCUAUUAACGUGGAGUUAUUUUUUUGCUUCUUUUUUCCUUAGCAAACUUACUGAAUAUGUUAUCGUAAGAAAUGAAAAGAUUGAUAGUCGCUUAUUAGCUGCUUCUUGUUUUUGCUAAAUUUUGCUAUAUGUUUAUAAGAAAUCGAGAAAUUGAUAGUGUUUAUUACGUAGUGUUCUGUUUUGCUAAAUUUGAUUAUAUGUUAUAUCGGAAGAAAUGAUGAAUGAUGAUAGAGUGUUUAGUUUUACUGUUAUUGCUAAAAUUUGUAAUAUUGAUAAGAAUGCAGAAGAAUUGAAGUGUGGCUAUUAGUGAUUACGUCUGUUUGUCUAAAUUUUGUAUAUUGUUAUUCAGAAAGAGAGUAAGAUAUGUAUUAGUGUUAUUAGUGCUUCUUGAUUUUUUUAUUUUGAUGAAUUUGUAUAUUGUUAUCAAGAAAUGAGAGAUUGAUAGUGUUAUUAGGUGUGCUUGUUUUACUAAAUUUUGCUAUAUUGUUAUCAAGAAACGAGAAGAUUGAUAGUGUUAUGGUCGUUCCUUGCUUUUUCUAAAUUUGUAUAUUGUUAUCAAGAAAUAGAAGAUGAUACGUGUUAUUAGUGUUCCUUGCUUUUGCCUAAAUUUUGUAUAUUGUAUAUCAAGAAAUUGAGAAAUUGAUAGUGUUAUAGUCUUCUUGUUUGCUAAAUUUUGUAUAUUAUUUCAAGAAAUGAGAAGGUUGAUGUAGUGUUUUAGUGUCAUAGUUUUGCCUAAAAUAUUGUAUAUUUUAUCAAGCAAAAUGAAGUAAGAUUGCAUAGUGUUAUUAGUGUUCUUAGUUAUCAAGAAAAACGUUUGACCUGCACCAGUUAGCUGAAAAUCUCUCAAAAAAUGAAGGCGUUGCCAUUGGGGAAUUCUUCCAUUGGCUUCUUUUAAGUCAAAUAAGGAUAUGCGAAGCCAUCACAACCAAGUCGCAUGUAAGCCAUGACGCACUAGUUCGUUUUGAAUUUAUGAUGGCUUCAAAGGCCACACCAUUGCUUGCCUAUAUUCGUACGCCCACAAUCUUUAGCGAAAACUCUAUUAAGUGGAGUUAUUUCUUUGCUUCUUCUUUUUCUUAGCAUACUAUCUGUAUAUUGAUUAUCAAGAAAAAUGCCCAGAAGAUUGCAUAGUGUUAUUAGUGCUCCUUGUUUUGCUAAUUUUGUUAUAUAUUUAAUCAAGAAAUGAGAAGAUUGAUUACUGUUAUUACUGUUCUUGUUUUGCUAAAUUUUUGUAUAUUGUUAUCAAGAAAUGCAGAAGAUGAUAGUGUUAUAGUGUUCUUGUUUUGCAUUGAAUUUUAGUAUAUUGUUAUCAGAAAUGAGCAAAGAUUGAUAGUGUUAUUAGUGUUUCUUGUUACUAAAUUAUUUAUAUAUUGGUUUAUCAGAAAACGCAGAGAUGCAUAGUGUUAUUAGUGUUCUUGUUUUGCUAAAUUUUGUAAUCUUGCUUUAUCAAGAAAUGAGAAGCCAUUGCAUAGUGUUAUUAGUGUUCUUUGUUAUCAAGAACACGUGUUGCACGCUGACCCAUUUAGCAAAAUCUCUCAAAAAUGAAGGCGUUGCCAUGGCGGGAAUUCUCCAUGGCGCAUCUUCUUUUAAGUCAAUAAGGAUAUGGAAGAUCACAACCAAGGUCGACUGUAAGCCCAUGACGCCACUGUCGUUUGAAUUUAUGAUGGCUUCAAAGCCACACCAAUUGCUUCCUAUAUCCGUACGCCACAUCUUCUAGGACUCUAUUAAGUGAGUUAAGUUAUUUCUGGUUAUUUUGCCUUACUUUUUUCUUAGCCAUACUUAUCUGUUAUAUUGUUAUUCAAGAAAAUGAGGAAGAUUGAUAGCUGUAUUAGUGUCCCUUGUUUUGCUAAAUAUUUGCUAUAUUAUAUCAAAGUCAAAUGAGGAAGAUGAUAGUGUUAUUACUGUUCUUGUUUGCUAAAAUUAUGUAUAUUGUUAUAAAGAAAUGAGAAGAUUGAUAGUGUAUUAGUGUUCUAAUUUUGCUAUAUUAAGCUUAUCAAGAAAUGAAAGAAGAUGAUAGUGUUAUUCAGUGCUUCUGCUUUUACUAAAUUUGUUAAUUGUUAUCAAGAAACGCAGAAGAUUGAUAUGCUUAUUAGUGUUCUUGUUUUGCCUAAAAUAUUGCAAAUGAAAGGCAUUGCCAUGGGGAAUUCUCCAUGGCUUCUAUUCAGUCAAAUAAGGAUAUGGAAGAUCACAACCAAGUCGAUGUAAGCCAUGACGCACUGUUCAUUUGAAUUUAUGAUGGCUUCAAAAGCCACACCACUACUUCCUAUAUCCGUACGCACAUCUUUAGGACUCUAUUACGUGAGUUAUUUCUUUGCAUCUUUUUUCUUAUCAUACUUAUCUGUAUAUUGUUAUCAAGAAAUGAAAAGAUUGAUAGUGUUAUUAGUGUUUUUGUUUUGCUAAAUUAUGUAUAUUGUUAUCAAGAAAUGAGAAGAUUGAUAUUGUUAUUAGUGUUCUUGUUUUGCUAAAUUUUGUAAAUUGUUAUCAAGAAAUGAGAAGAUUGGUCGUGUUAUUAGUGUUCUUCUUUUGCUAAAUUUUGUAUAUUAUUAUCAAGAAAUGAGAAGCUUGAUAGUGUUAUUAGUCUUCUUGUUUUGCUAAAUUUUGUAUAUUAUUAUCAAGAAAUGAGAAGGUUGAUAGUGUUAUUAGUGUUCUUGUUUUGCUAAAUUUUGUAAAGAGAGAGAUUAACUCUAUUAUGUGAGUGUAUUCUUGCCUCGUUUUUUUCUUGAGCAAUAUCUAUCUGUAUAUUGUAUCCAAGAAAUGAGAAAGAUUGAUAGUGUUUAUUGUGUUCUUGUUUGCUAAAUUUUAUAUAUUUGUUAUCAAAGAAAUGAGAAGAUUGAUAGUGUUAUUAGGUUCUUGUUUUGCUAAAUUUGUAUAUUGUUAUCAGAAAUGAGAAGAUUGAAGUGUUAUUAGUGUUUUUUGUUUUGAAAUUUUGUAUAUUGUUAUCAAGAAAUGAGAAGAUUGAUAGUGUUAUUAGUGUUCUUGUUUUGCUAAAUUUUUUAUAUUGUUAUCAGAAAGAGAAGAUUGAUAGUGUUAUUAGUGUUCUUGUUUUGCUAAUUUUUGUAUAUUGUUAUCAAGAAAUGAGAAGAUUGAUAGUGUUAUUAGUGUUCUUGUUUUGUAAAUUUUGUAUAUUGUUAUCAAGAAAUGAGAAAUUGAUAGUGUUAUUAGUGUUCUUGUUAUCAAGAAAUGUUUGACGCUGACCCUUUAAGAAUCUCUCAAAAAUGAAAGGCAUUGCAUGGGAAUUCUCCAUGGCUUUUUGUUCAGUCAAAUAAGGAUAUGGAAGAUCACAACAGUGAUGUAAGUCAUGACGCCUGUUCUUUUGAAUUUAUGAUGGCUUCAAAGGCCACACCACUGCUUCCUAUAUCGUACGCACAUCUUUAGGACUCUUUUACGUGAGUUAUUUUUUGCUUCUUUUUUCUUAGCAUACUAAUCUGUGUAUAUUGUUAUCAAGAAAUGAGAAGAUUGAUAGUGUUAUUAGUGUUCUUGUUUUGCUAAAUUUUGUAUAUGUUAUGCAAAGAAAUGAGAAGAUUGAUAGUGUUAUUAGUGUUCUUGUUUGCAAAAUUUGUAUAUUGUUAUCAAGAAAUGAAAAGAUUGAUAGUGUAUAGUGUUCUUGUUUGCUAAAUUUUGUAUAUUGUUAUCAGAAAUGAGAAGAUUGAUAUGUUUUAUUAGUGUUCUUGUUUUGCUAAUUUUGUAUAUUGUUAUCAAGAAAUGAGAAGAUUGAUAGUGUUAUUAGUGUUCUGUUUUGCUAUUUUGAAUAUUGUAUCAAGAAAUGAGAAGAUUGAAAGUGUUAUAGUGUUCUUGUUUGCUAAAUUUUGUAUUUUUAUCAAGAAAUGAGAAGAUUGAUAGUGUUAUUUGUGUUUUUGUUUUGCUAAAUUUUGUAUAUUGUUAUCAAGAAAUGAAGAUUGAUAGUGUUAUUAGUGUCUUGUUUUGCUAAAUUUUGUAUAUUGUUAUCAAGAAAUAGGAAGGUUGAUAGUGUUAUUAGUGUUUCUUGUUUGCUAAUUUUGUAUAUUGUUAUCAAGAAAUGAGAAGAUUGAUAGUGUUAUUAGUGUUCUUGUUAUCAAGAAACGUUUUGACGCUGACCCUUUAGCAAAAUCUCUCAAAAUGAAAGGCAUUGCCAUGGGGAAUUCUCCAUGGCUUUUAUUCAGUCAAAUAAGGAUAUGGAAGAUCACAACCAAGUCGAUGUAAGCCAUGCCGCACUGUUCGUUUGAAUUUAUGAUGGCUCAAAGGCCACACCACUGCUUCCUAUAUCGUACGCACAUCUUUAGACUCUAUUAUGUGAGUUAUUUCUUUGCUCUUUUUCUUAGCAUACUAUCUGUAUAUUUUUCAAGAAAUGAGAAGAUUGAUAGUGUUAUUGUGUUCUUGUUUUGCUAAAUUUUUUGUUAUUUAUCAAGAAAUGAGAGAUUGAUAGUGUUAUUAGGUUCUUGUUUUGCUAAAUUUUGUAUAUUGUUAUCAAGAAAUGAGAAGAUUGAGUGUUAUUAGUGUUUUUUGUUUUGUAAAUUUGUAUAUUGUUAUCAAGAUGAGAAGAUUGAUAGUGUUAUUAGUGUUCUUGUUUUGCUAAAUUUUGUAUAUUGUUAUCAAGAAAGAGAAGAUUGAUAGUGUUAUUAGUGUUCUUGUUUUCUAAAUUUUGUAUAUUGUUAUCAAGAAAUGAGAAGAUUGAUAGUGUUAUUAGUGUUCUUGUUUUGAUAAAUUUUGUAUAUUGUUAUCAAGAAAUGAGAAAUAUUGAUAGUGUUAUUAGUGUUCUUGUUAUCAAGAAACGUUUGACGCUGACUCCUUUAGCAAAAAUCUCUCAAAAUGAAAGGCAUUGCCAUGGGGAAUUCUCCAUGGCUUCUGUUCAGUCAAAUAAGGAUAUGGAAGAUCACAACCAAGUCGAUGUAAGUCAUGACGCACUGUUCUUUAAUUUAUGAUGGCUUCAAAGCCACACCACUGCUUCCUAUAUUCGUACGCACAUCUUUAGGAUUUUAUUACGUGAGUUAUUUCUUUGCUUCUUUUUUCUUAGCAUACUAAUCUGUAUAUUGUUAUCAAGAAAUGAGAAGAUUGAUAGUGUUAUAGUGUUCUUGUUUUGCUAAAUUUGUAUAUUGUUAUCAGAAUAAUGGAAGAUUGAUAGUGUUAUUAGUGUUCUUGUUUUGCUAAAUUUUUGUAUAUUGUUAUCAAGAAAUGAGAAGAUUGAUAGUGUAUUAGUGUUCUUGUUUUGCUAAUUUUUUGAUAUGUAUCAAGAAAUGAGAAGAUUGAUAGUGUUUAUAGUGUUCUUGUUUGCUAAAUUUUGAUAUUGUUAUCAAGAAAUGAGAAGAUUGAUAGUGUUAUUGUGUUUUGUUUGCUUAAAUUUUGUAUAUUGUUAUCAAGAAAUGAGAAGAUUGAUAGUGUAUUAGUUGUCUUUUUGCUAAAUUUUGUAUAUUGUUAUCAAGAAAUAGAAGUUGAUAGUGUUAUUAGUGUUCUUGUUUGCUAAUUUUGUAUAUUGUUAUCAAGAAAUGAGAAGAUUGAUAGUGUAUAGUGUUAUUAGUNNNNNNNNNNUAGUUAUUGUAUGCAAAAAUGAGAAGAUUGAUAGUGUUAUUAGUUUUCUUGUUUUGUAAAUUUUGUAUAUUGUUAUCAAGAUGAGAAGAUUGAUAGUGUUAUUAGUGUUCUUGUUUUGCUAAAUUUUGUAUAUUGUUAUAAGAGAGAAGAUUGAUAGUGUUAUUAGUGUUUUAUGAUAGUGUUAUUAGUGUUCUUGUUAUCAAGAAACGUUUGACGCUGACCCUUUAGCAAAUUCUCUCAAAAAUGAAAGGCAUUGCCAUGGGGAAUUCUCCAUGGCUUCUAUUCAGUCAAAUAAGGAUGUGGAAGAUCACAACCAAGUCGAUGUAUGUCAUGACGCACUGUUCAUUUGAAUUUGUGAUGGCUUCAAAGGCCACACCACUACUUCCUAUAUUCGUACGCACAUCUUUAGGACUCUAUUACGUGAGUUAUUUCUUUGCUUCUUUUUUCUUAGCAUACUACUAUGUAUAUUGUUAUCAAGAAAUGAGAAGAUUGAUAGUGUUAUUAGUGUUCUUGUUUUGCUAAAUUUUGUAUGUUGUUAUCAAAAAAUAAGAAGAUUGAUAGGGUUAUUAGUGUUCUUGUUUUGCUAAAUUUUGUAUAUUGUUAUCAAGAAAUAAGAAGAUUGAUAGUGUUAUUAGUGUUCUUGUUUUGCUAAAUAUUGUAUAUUGUUAUCAAGAAAUGAGAAGCUUGAUAGUGUUAUUAGUCGUCUUGUUUUGCUAAAUUUUGUAUAUUAUUAUCAAGAAAUGAGUAGAUUGAUAGUGUAUUAGUGUUCUUGUUUUGCUAAAUUUGUAUAUGUUAUCAAGAAAUGAGAAGAUUGAUAUGUUAUUAGUGUUCUUGUUUUGCUAAAUUUGUAUAUUGUUAUCAAGAAAUGAGAAGAUUGAUAGUGUUUAUUAGUGUUCUUGUUUUGCUAAUUGUAUAUUGUUAUCGAAGAUGAAAGAUUGAUAUGUUAUUAGUGUUCUUGUUUUGCUAAAUUUUGUAUAUUGUUAUCAAGAAAUGAGAAAGAUUGAUAGUGUUAUUAGUGUUCUUGUUUGCUAAAUUUUGUAUAUUGUUAUCAAGAAAUGAGAAGAUUGAUAGUGUUAUUAGUGUUCUUGUUUUGCUAAAUUUGUUAUAUGUUAUCAAGAAAUGAGAAGAGUAUAGUGUUAUUAGUGUUCUUGUUUGCUAAAUUUUGUAUAUUGUUUCAAGAAAUAGAAGAUUGAUAGUGUAUUAUGUUCUUGUUUUGCUAAAUUUUGUAUAUUGUUAUCAAGAAAUGAGAAGAUUGAUAGUGUUAUUAGUGUUCUGUUUUUGCUAAUAUUGUAUAUUGUUAUCAAGAAAUGAGAGAAGAUUGAUAGUGUUAUUAGUUUCUGUUUUGCUAAAUUUUGUAUAUUGUUAUCAAAGAAUGAGAAGAUUGAUAGUUUAUAUGUUCUUGUUUUGCUAAAAUUUGUAUAUUGUUAUCAAGAAAUGAGAAAGAUUGAUAGUGUUAUUGUGUUCUUUUUUUCUAAAUUUUGUAUAUUUUUAUCAGAAAUGAGAAGAUGAUAGGUUAUUAUGUUCUGUUUUGCUAAAUUUGUAUAUUAUACAAGAAAUGAGAGAUUGUAGUGUAUUAGUGUUCUUGUUUUCUAAAUUUUGUAUAUUGUAUCAAGAAAUGAGAAGAUUGAUAGUGUUAUUAGUGUUCUUGUUUUGCAAAAUUUGUAUAUGUUAUCAAGAAAUGAGAGGAUUGAUAGUGUUAUUAGUGUUCUUUUUGCUAAAUUUUGUAUAUUUAUACAGAAAUGAGAAGAUUGAUAGUGUUAUUAGUGUUCUUGUUUUGCUAAAUUUUGUAUAUUGUUAUCAAGAAAUGAGAAGAUUGAUAGUGUUAUUAGUGUUUUGUUUUGCUAAAUUUUGAUAUUGUUAUCAAGAAAUAGAAAGAUUGAUAGUGUUAUUAGUGUUCUUGUUUUGCUAAAUUUGUAUAUUGUUAUCAAAAUGAGAAGAUUGAUAGUGUUAUUAGUGUUUUGUUUUGCUAAAUUUUAUAUUGUUAUCAAGAAAUGAGAAGAUUGAUAGGUUAUUAGGUUUCGUUUUGCUAAAUUUUGUAUAUGUUAUCAAGAAAUGAGAAGAUUGAUAGGGUUAUUAUGUUCUUUUGUUUUGCUAAAUUUUGUAUAUUUAUCAAGAAAUAAGAAGAUUGAUAGUGUUAUUAGUGUUCUUGUUUUGCUAAAUUUUGUAUAUUGUUAUCAAGAAAUGAGAAGUUUGAUAGUGUUAUUAGUGUCUUGUUUUGCUAAAUUUGUAUAUUUUAUCAAGAAAUGAGAAGUUGAUAGUGUUAUUAGUGUUCUUGUUUUGUAAAUUUGUAUAUGUUAUCAAGAAAUGAGAAGAUUGAUAGUGUUAUUAGUGUUCUUGUUUUGCUAAAAUUUGUAUAUGUUAUCAGAAAUGAGAAGAUUGAUAUUGUUAUUAGUGUUCUUGUUUUGCUAAAUUUGUAUAUUGUUAUCAAGAAAUGAGAAGAUUGAUAGUGUUAUUAGUGUUCUUGUUUGCUAAAUUUUGUAUAUUGUUAUCAAGAAAUGAGAAGAUUGAUAGUGUUAUUAGUGUUCUUGUUUUGCUAAAUUUUGUUUAUUGUUUAUCAAGAAAUGAGAAGAUUGAUAGUGUUAUUAGUGUUCUUGUUUUGCUAAAUUUUAUAUUGUUAUCAAGAAAUAGAAGAUUGAUAGUGAUUAGUGUUUUUUUUGCUAAAUUUUGUAUAUUGUUAUCAAGAAAUGAGAAGAUUGAUAGUGUUAUUAGUGUUCUGUUUUUCUAAAUUUUAUAUUGUUAUCAAGAAAUGAGAAGAUUGAUAGUGUUAUUAGUUCUUGUUUUGCUAAAUUUUGUAUAUUGUUAUCAAGAAAUGAGAAGAUUGAUAGUUAUUAGUGUUCUUGUUUUGCUAAAUUUUGUAUAUUGUUAUCAAGAAAUGAGAAGAUUGAUAGUGUUAUUAGUGUUCUUUUUUCUAAAUUUUGUAUAUUUUAUCAGAAAAGAGAAGAUUGAUAGUGUUAUUAUGUUCUUGUUUUGUAAAUUGUAUAUUUUAUCAAGAAAUGAGAAGAUUGAUAGUGUUAUUAGUGUUCUUGUUUUCUAAAUUUGUAUAUUGUUAUCAAGAAAUGAGAAGAUUGAAUAUGUUAUUAGUUCUUGUUUGCAAAAUUUGUAUAUUGUUAUCAAGAAAUGAGAGAUUGAUAUGUUAUUAUGUUCUUUUUUGCAAAUUUGUAUAUUAACAAGAACAUGAGAAGAUUGAUAGUGUUAUUAGUGUUCUUGUUUUGCUAAAUUAUGUAUAUUGUUAUCAAGAAAUGAGAAGAUUGAUAUUGUUAUUAGUGUUCUUGUUUUGCUAAAUUUUAUAAAUUGUUAUCAAGAAAUGAGAAGAUUGAUAGUGUUAUUAGUGUUCUUGUUU
rnacentral:lncRNA from 1 species